GACGAACGCUGGCGGCGUGCCUAAUACAUGCAAGUUGAGCGCUGAAGGUUGGUACUUGUACCGACUGGAUGAGCAGCGAACGGGUGAGUAACGCGUGGGGAAUCUGCCUUUGAGCGGGGGACAACAUUUGGAAACGAAUGCUAAUACCGCAUAAAAACUUUAAACACAAGUUUUAAGUUUGAAAGAUGCAAUUGCAUCACUCAAAGAUGAUCCCGCGUUGUAUUAGCUAGUUGGUGAGGUAAAGGCUCACCAAGGCGAUGAUACAUAGCCGACCUGAGAGGGUGAUCGGCCACAUUGGGACUGAGACACGGCCCAAACUCCUACGGGAGGCAGCAGUAGGGAAUCUUCGGCAAUGGACGAAAGUCUGACUGAGCAACGCCGCGUGAGUGAAGAAGGUUUUCGGAUCGUAAAACUCUGUUGGUAGAGAAGAACGUUGGUGAGAGUGGAAAGCUCAUCAAGUGACGGUAACUACCCAGAAAGGGACGGCUAACUACGUG
rnacentral:rRNA from 1 species